UGUACAUUAUUUCGUACGAGGUUGGAAUUCGUGAUUUUGAAACUGUACGCCUUCCUAAAUCGCAUGUAAUAUAUUUUGCAUUUUUCGAUACAAAUCAUGUAUGUUCGAUAGAUGUUUAGCUUGUAUACAGUUAUUCACCAUUUCAGACUAUAUACUACGUUUCUCAGCAUACGUCUUCUGACUUUUACAAUUAAUUUUGUAGUUUAAUAAUUUACCUAAUAUUGAUCGAUAUCUUGUUGCACUGCAACGGAUAUUAAGCUAUCAGCGUUUUACUUAAUACAAUGUUGUCUGUAAAAUUGUACAAAUUAGUCGACAUUACAUAAAUUUUCUAUCAGCUGAAAACUCCACUGAGAUCUUGCAUCACAAAAAAAUAAGUCUGUAGUAUAAACUUGGCGUCUUUCCGUAAUGAUAUAUACGGUGUAUAUGAUCCUGUAUUGUUUCGAGAAACAUAUGUAUUUAUUGUAAAAUUAGGAACAGGAUGAUAAAUAUGAUACUUGACGAAUAGAUGUGAUCAAACAGAUUUUCGAAAGGAGAAAAAACACAAAAGAAAUAUAAUACUAACUUUCUUCUCUUUUAUAGAAUUUAUACUUUCGCAAUUGAAAGGUAGAUAAGAAUUCUAUUUUUGCGUUCAUUCUUUUAAAGUACCAUAGUUUUGUAUCCUAUACUGAAACGAUGUGAGAUAUUGUAAAUAUUAGCAUAAGGCGAUAGUUAUAUUCGAUGUAUAUUUAACUCUGGAGUUACUGAGAUAGUAUUCUGCUUUCUUGUAGAAAGAAUAAAAGAGAAGAUUAGCUCCCCCUCAGUUUCUGCUUCAGUUAAGAAUGAUUGAAUAUAACUAUAACGUGACUACAACGGGGAAAUGAGUUUUUAAUCAUUCAACGAUCAAUAUCUCUGAAAGAGUAUUAAAAAUAUUUCUCGAUUACGUCUUAAAUUAUAAUAAGGCUUUGUAAAGUGCAUAAGUUUUUUGCGAGAACGUUUGUAUUUUGCCGUUUAUCUAUUUAGAAUGCUAUAAAACGAUAAUUACUUGCGCUAUAUUUCCGUGAAGAAAAAAAACAGAAAUACAUUGCGAAUUUUAUAUCUUAGAAGGAAGAAAAAUGAAAGUGAUACGCUUUUUUGUAUGUACGCAUUAAUUUCUUUGAACCUAAAAUCACGUUACUAUUACGAGCCAACAUCAAUUAUUUUCUAUUACCCACAUUUCUUGAUAAGUAUAAAUUUUGUAUAGGCCGAAUAACAAAGGAAAGAAGUUAUUUUGUAGAUUAUUUUACCCAUGCGAAACGAGUUAAGUAAUAGUAAAAAAAACAAAUUUUACAAUUUUAGCGUGCAUUUCUGUAAAUAAUAAUGCAUAUAGUGUGAUGAUGUUUGGUCAAGGGAAAGCGAAAAAUGUACGAAUUACGUUUGAAAAUAUUUUGUGUCUUACGUACAUACAUGAAAAGGAAAAACGUGAAAAUCACACCACCAUAGAAAUUUGCUAGCUUAGGUUUUUAAUUGCAAAGUGAUAUUCUAAACAGUGAGCUAUUUAUAAUUUAUUACUAGCCGAAUACAGACCGUGAAUAAUAAAGCAAAGUAUGUUGUAAAUAUAAUAUAAGAGAACGAAAUAAAUGAUGUAGUAAAAUAAUUUAAUACCGUAUAAUUAAAAUGAAACAUAUUUUAUUACUUGUGAGGACUUGCUUCUUAUUAAAACCGUCGACAUGUAUAAUAAGAAAAGAUAGAAAAUCGAACCGCUACUUAACCCUAAUUUAUAUCUGAUUAACCAAGGAGGGUUAUUUUAACUCUCAUUAAAUGCAAGAGGACAGCUUAACAAUUCUAAAAAGAGCAACCUACUAAUAAAAUAAGAUAGUCUAAACGCCCACUUAAAGCAAGUCAAUAAUGUGUAAAAUAUACGAAUAUAUAAUACAUGUAGAAGUGACUAUAUUGUUACACUGUAUCCAUUUUUAAAACAAAUUACCCGGCUUGGGAUAUGCCAACAGUUUAAACAUGAUCCAGGUUUCAAAUUUUUUACAUGAAAAUGAUCGAAAUAUAAAUAUAAGGUAACUGCAUUUAAUGUAGAGCGCCUCGAUAUCUCAGAAAAUAAAUAAUAUAUGUAUUACAAUGGAAAAUAUUUGGUUAGUAAUGGUAAAAAAUUCCGUUAAUAGCUGGAUGACAGUUAAAUAUCUGUUCUAGAAAGUUAUUCAUCAAUGUGUUUAGCCGCACGUAAAUGUUUUUGAGAAAAUUAAUUAUUUAAAUUUCUAAGUAAAGAUUGUCAAAAAUAAAGAUGUGACGCUUUUCCCAUGAAACUGCCGAUAUACAUGUUACAUUAUACGUAUAAAUACGAACAAACGCAUUAACACGUUCUGAAAAAAAACAGUACUGUGCAAUCUGUUUAUACUAAUAAAAAUCCCCUUCUCCUGUGACUCCAGCAUGACGGCAUACGCAGUUUAAUACACGAUGGUACAUUGCUAAAAAGACGCAAUUGAGGAAGGCAGAUAUUAACUUCCAUAAAUUCGGUGGUGAUUCGGUCUACGAAAAACUCGCAGUUCAAUUUCUGUUUGUUCUAACAAAGACACUAUAUAA